UACGUAGGGUGCGAGCGUUGUCCGGAAUUAUUGGGCGUAAAGAGCUUGUAGGCGGUCUGUCGCGUCUGCUGUGAAAAUCCGGGGCUCAACCCCGGACUUGCAGUGGGUACGGGCAGACUAGAGUGUGGUAGGGGAGACUGGAAGUUCCUGGUGUAGCGGUGAAAUGCGCAGAUAUCAGGAGGAACACCAAUAGCGAAGGCAGCUCGCUGGGACGUUACUGACACUGAGGCGCGAAAGCGUGGGGAGCGAACAGG
rnacentral:rRNA from 1 species